rnacentral:misc_RNA from 1 species
GGGAAUCCAACUUUUCAAUGCUUCAGUGCUUGCAUCUGCUUAGAUAACACUAACUCAAACAAGCUUCUGUUUCACAACCAGUCAAGCCUAGAAAUAACAUCGGCUUAUAGACAUGAAUUAAGUAGUGUGGGCACUUAACAUGAUCAUACAUUUGUAUUUACAGUUCAACAAAAGUUUAAGUUCCCAUCUAAGAAACUAUAUUUUCUUGAUAAUCAGCCGAGUCAAAGGCAGGAAUGAGGAUAUCCACAGCCCUGAGGUGAAAAGAUGGCAUCACAAGGAACACCAGCUGAAAAUCGUGGUGAUAUGUCAUUAAUGACUUCCUUCCCGAUCGCUCCUAUUUCAGGCAAUCUUUGAUUCAAUAAGGUCAAAGAUUAGUUCAAAGGUGAACACCAGUAGCUGUAGCACCCUGAUUGUAUGGAAGUUCCAUUUGAGUUUUUCAAACCCACAUCUUUGCUCCAGCAACCUUGCUUACACCUGUUCGUCAAGCAAAGAGAGUUGCCACUAUCUGUAUACUUGAUAUGGUAAACAACCAAGCAUUUCACAUUAAAUAACAAACUAAGAACCAGAACUUGACUU